rnacentral:rRNA from 1 species
GAUGAACGCUAGCGGCAGGCCUAAUACAUGCAAGUCGAGGGGUAGAAGAGGCUUGCUUCUUUGAGACCGGCGCACGGGUGCGCAACGCGUAUGCAACCUACCUUCAUCUGGGGGAUAGCCCGGAGAAAUCCGGAUUAAUACCGCAUAAAAUCACAGGAUGGCAUUAUCCAAUGAUCAAACAUUUAUGGGAUGGAGAUGGGCAUGCGUGUCAUUAGCUAGUUGGCGGGGUAAGGGCCCACCAAGGCGACCAUGACUAGGGGUGCUGAGAGGAUGGCCCCCCACACUGGUACUGAGACACGCACCAGACUCCUACGGGAGGCAGCAGUAAGGAAUAUUGGUCAAUGGAGGCAACUCUGAACCAGCCAUGCCGCGUGCAGGAAGACUGCCCUGUGGGUUGUAAACUGCUUUUAUUCGGGAAUAAACCUUAUUACGUGUAAUAAGCUGAAUGUACCGAAGGAAUAAGGAUCGGCUAACUCCGUGCCAGCCGCCGCGGUAA